UCUGGAAAGGCGCGCGAUACAGGGUGACAGCCCCGUACACAAAAAUGCACAUGCUGUGAGCUCGAUGAGUAGGGCGGGACACGUGGUAUCCUGUCUGAAUAUGGGGGGACCAUCCUCCAAGGCUAAAUACUCCUGACUGACCGAUAGUGAACCAGUACCGUGAGGGAAAGGCGAAAAGAACCCCGGCGAGGGGAGUGAAAAAGAACCUGAAACCGUGUACGUACAAGCAGUGGGAGCACGCUUAGGCGUGUGACUGCGUACCUUUUGUAUAAUGGGUCAGCGACUUAUAUUCUGUAGCAAGGUUAACCGAAUAGGGGAGCCGAAGGGAAACCGAGUCUUAACUGGGCGUUAAGUUGCAGGGUAUAGACCCGAAACCCGGUGAUCUAGCCAUGGGCAGGUUGAAGGUUGGGUAACACUAACUGGAGGACCGAACCGACUAAUGUUGAAAAAUUAGCGGAUGACUUGUGGCUGGGGGUGAAAGGCCAAUCAAACCGGGAGAUAGCUGGUUCUCCCCGAAAGCUAUUUAGGUAGCGCCUCGUGAAUUCAUCUCCGGGGGUAGAGCACUGUUUCGGCAAGGGGGUCAUCCCGACUUACCAACCCGAUGCAAACUGCGAAUACCGGAGAAUGUUAUCACGGGAGACACACGGCGGGUGCUAACGUCCGUCGUGAAGAGGGAAACAACCCAGACCGCCAGCUAAGGUCCCAAAGUCAUGGUUAAGUGGGAAACGAUGUGGGAAGGCCCAGACAGCCAGGAUGUUGGCUUAGAAGCAGCCAUCAUUUAAAGAAAGCGUAAUAGCUCACUGGUCGAGUCGGCCUGCGCGGAAGAUGUAACGGGGCUAAACCAUGCACCGAAGCUGCGGCAGCGACGCUGAUGCGUUGUUGGGUAGGGGAGCGUUCUGUAAGCCUGUGAAGGUGUGCUGUGAGGCAUGCUGGAGGUAUCAGAAGUGCGAAUGCUGACAUAAGUAACGAUAAAGCGGGUGAAAAGCCCGCUCGCCGGAAGACCAAGGGUUCCUGUCCAACGUUAAUCGGGGCAGGGUGAGUCGACCCCUAAGGCGAGGCCGAAAGGCGUAGUCGAUGGGAAACAGGUUAAUAUUCCUGUACUUGGUGUUACUGCGAAGGGGGGACGGAGAAGGCUAUGUUGGCCGGGCGACGGUUGUCCCGGUUUAAGCGUGUAGGCUGGUUUUCCAGGCAAAUCCGGAAAAUCAAGGCUGAGGCGUGAUGACGAGGCACUACGGUGCUGAAGCAACAAAUGCCCUGCUUCCAGGAAAAGCCUCUAAGCAUCAGGUAACAUCAAAUCGUACCCCAAACCGACACAGGUGGUCAGGUAGAGAAUACCAAGGCGCUUGAGAGAACUCGGGUGAAGGAACUAGGCAAAAUGGUGCCGUAACUUCGGGAGAAGG
rnacentral:rRNA from 1 species